rnacentral:lncRNA from 1 species
GCUUGUAGGCCCUGGAGACAGUCUGGAGUCCUCAGACGAACAGAAAGAAGACAUCAGAAGGGCAACCAGGGGUGCCUGUGGCUGCUGAGUACAGGAGCAGGGCUGUGCGAGUAAGCAGAAUGGAAAGAAAGCAUCGUGCCUUGUAGUCAAACAAAGUGAGGCUUUAUGGCAUCCAUGCUCUCGUCUCUAUUCGCCCAGAGACAGGCACAACGGCACAGAUACCAUGCAACGGAGAGUAACAGGUGCGGGUGACGGAUUUUAAGAAACUGGCAACAUAGAAGCUGGUUUUAAAAUAGUCAUAAGAAGUUGGCUUUUUCAGGGAGGGUAGACCUGCAUCUUUCUUCUUUGUACACACUGGGACAAGACGACUGCUUCAUUGAUUCUUGAGCAAGAGGAACCGUGAAAGAAAGCCAAUUUUUGAUGUUGAAGUGACGUAGCAUUUCUGCUGUAGUUGGAAAUAGCACUGUCUCUCCAGUGUCCCAAAUUCACUUCCAUUAAACGGUCGAUGUGA